rnacentral:rRNA from 1 species
UACGGGGGGGGCAAGCGUUGUUCGGAAUUACUGGGCGUAAAGGGCUCGUAGGCGGCCAACUAAGUCAGACGUGAAAUCCCUCGGCUUAACCGGGGAACUGCGUCUGAUACUGGAUGGCUGGAGUUUGGGAGAGGGAUGCGGAAUUCCAGGUGUAGCGGUGAAAUGCGUAGAUAUCAGGAAGAACACCCGUGGCUAAGGCGGCUCUCUAGUACGGUACUGACGCUGAGACGCGAAAGCGUGGGGAGCGAACAGG